UGGACUCGUUAAAAGAGUUGAAGAUUUAGUCGGAAAGUUUGGAGAGCGGCUCCCUCGACAUUACGUAUUCCUGUAUACAAAGCAAAGGAUCGAUGUUUGCGCGAGACUAAGAUUAAUCGCCGCUCGAGUUUGACGCCCGUGGUUUUCGAUACCGUCCCAUAACUCGAUCGUUAACC